GGCUACCACAUCCAAGGAAGGCAGCAGGCGCGCAAAUUACCCACUCCCGGCACGGGGAGGUAGUGACGAAAAAUAACGAUACGGGACUCAUCCGAGGCCCCGUAAUCGGAAUGAGUACACUUUAAAUCCUUUAACGAGGAUCAAUUGGAGGGCAAGUCUGGUGCCAGCAGCCGCGGUAAUUCCAGCUCCAAUAGCGUAUAUUAAAGUUGUUGCGGUUAAAAAGCUCGUAGUUGAAUCUGUGUCGCACGCUGUCGGUUCGCCGCUCGCGGUGUUUAACUGACAUGCUCGUGAGACGUCCUACCGGUGGGCUUAGCCUUUCGGGGCGGUCCAACUAAUAUCCCAUCGCGGUGCUCUUCAUUGAGUGUCGAGGUGGGCCGGUACGUUUACUUUGAACAAAUUAGAGUGCUUAAAGCAGGCUAUCUUUGCCUGAAUACUGUGUGCAUGGAAUAAUGGAAUAGGACCUCGGUUCUAUUUUGUUGGUUUUACGGAAACCCGAGGUAAUGAUUAAUAGGGACCGAUGGGGGCAUUGCGUAUUGCGAUCGUUAGAGGUGAAAUUGCUUGGAU
rnacentral:rRNA from 1 species